rnacentral:tRNA from 1 species
GGGCCGUUAGCUCAGUCGGUAGAGCAUCGGACUUUUAAUCCGCUGGUCGUAGGUUCGAAUCCUACACGGCCCACCA